rnacentral:lncRNA from 1 species
UAUCCACAAGCUUGAGAUCAAAAAAGCCUUCAAAUCUCAUUCACCACUCAACGAAACAUUCACCCGACUGACAUGGGAAUUCGCAUAAUUUACUAAAAGCUGAGGAAAAAAAUGUGCACAAUGAGUGCACUUUCAACACAAGUCCAUCUUCUCAAACUCCCUUUAAGAUUAAAUUCUUCAAUUGAAAUGGUCACACCUUCAUAUCUGUAUCUCCUUCACGUAAGUUGUAAUGCCUUUUUCACAGUAUGAAACUGUGUAAAAUAUGGAAAUAUUGUGUAGAAUAUUUCCCUUAUAUUUUUCCUUUUAGUGUAGGAUUAUUUACCAUAGUUAUUGAUUGUACAAUCUUUCCUUUUAGUAUUAUUUGUAACCCUAUAAAUAGGAUUUUCUAUAUUGUAAUAUUUAAGAGUUCAUUGUAAUAUCCUUACGAGCUUACAUUAAAUAAAUCAUUCAUAUAUUUCUCAUCAUAAUAUUAGAGCAAUAUAUCUCUUAACAUGGUAUUAGAGUCACAUUAUUCUUAACAUGGUAUCAGAGCGGGUUCGAUCCUUAACAAAUUUACGUUUCAAGUUUCAGAGCAGUUUGGAUCUUGAAACAGAUUAUCCUUCUAAUUGCGUCUCCGUUACUGCCUAUUUUAUCAAUUUUCUCUGAUUUCUCGGUCGACUAAAAAAAAUGGUUUUUGUCCUCCAGUCAAGAAAGACGGCUGCAACAACUACAUACACACAGAAAAAGGGAAGGCCGGCUGUUAUUACAUGUAUUCAAGCACAGAAAUUUCGACAGCUUUGAGGCAUAAAAGGAGUUGAACUGGCCGGCUGGAAAAGAAAAGAAAACUGCAGAAUCCUUAUUCAAUCUGUUUUGACAAUGGGGCACCCUGAUUUCAUGCCUUCUUGCUUUGAAAAGUCAAAUAUUAUGGUGCUGAAGAGAGUUUCAGACACAAUUACUGCAGAGUAAUAAUUGGUGAAUUUUUUUUUUCAAUUGUUUUUUUUUAAAACUAUUUUAUUAGUC